UCUGCAUAUUCAACAAGAUAUUUCUGGGAUGUGCUCAGAGCAGGGGGCCUGAAGAAAUGACUCCUCUGUUUACAACACACCCAACAGGAAUCUGGGUUCAUUGUGACAAAUGGCACAAAACUUGGGGCCUUCCUAUGAACACAUACCCUACACAUGUCCCCCUGCACCUCCACAUGGCUGCUGGGCAAGACCAGUGGGAUAGGGCUCAAUACUGGAAGAAAAACCACAGUAUUUUGUGGGGGAAUUUGCCACCUAGAGCCUGUCUGGUCUAUGAAUGGGUGGGCUAUGAGUGGUCUUAUAGAC